CAAGAAACGAGGCUACGUGCCCCGCUCUUUACCUUGCCUACUGCACUAUCUGUUGCUUCCUGGCGGCGGUUUGCCUGCCGCCAGGGACAUUGUAAAGCCCUGUAUAAGCAUUAAAAAAAACUGAAACAAACCGAAUCGUA
rnacentral:misc_RNA from 1 species